rnacentral:lncRNA from 1 species
AGCAGCAGUUUCAGAUAACUCAGCAGCGGCCUAUGACUUAGGUCACCAGCCAUUAGCAUUGACUCAGCAGCACUCAAUGUCAUUAUCUCAUCAACCACCAGUACCUCCAAGUUUCUUCCUGUUGGCCUUAUUCAGCCUUCUGGAAUGGUUUACUAUGGGCACACUAACCAUUACCAGUGACUCUUACAGUCCGAUUAUAAUAUUAUGUUAUAGGGGGACUUUCUUUUAUGGGAAUGUGGAUUUUUUGUUUGUGAAUAUUUCCUUGUUCAGAUGAUUAGACAUGGAAAUGUCCAACUAAUUAUACGGGUAUAUGCAUUUGGAAAGCAACUGAUAGUGCCUGGGAAGAGUA